rnacentral:rRNA from 1 species
AACCCCAAACUUCUGAAUGUUGACUGCGGAGGGAUCAUUA